rnacentral:lncRNA from 1 species
GGGGCUGCCGCUGGCACUUCUGAUACACUGAGCUGGGGAGUGGCAUGUCACAAGCAGCCUUGUGGAGGGGCUCAUGUGAUGCGGAGCUGAGGCCUCCUGCCCAGAGCCCCAUGAGCAGUGGCAGGAUCCCGCACCCCGGACAGGCAGCCCCUGAGAUCCUGAGCCAGACCACCUAGCUACACCACUCCCAGGCUCCUAGCCCUCAGACACUGCGUGACAAAGAGGAGAGCGAGGCCAUCAGAGGCUGCAGAGUCCCCAGGACAGUGGCUGAGUGCAGCCAGCAGACCUUGGGCCACCAGGAGGGAGAGAGCUCCAGGCCCUGCCCUCAGGGAGCUCACCAUUCGGAGAUGUGGCUGAUGUCUCGGCACCCAAACAUCCCUUCAUUCAACAAAGAUUUAUUGAGCACCUGCUAUGCACCAAGCACUGUUCUUGGCACUGGGUGUACAUCAGUGACCAAGACAGAAAUCCCUGCCCUUGUGGGGCAGACACUCAAGGGGAGAGGACACAAUAAAUACAUAAACAAACAUAAAUGGAGGUGGUGAUGAG